rnacentral:rRNA from 1 species
UACGAAGGGGGCUAGCGUUGCUCGGAAUCACUGGGCGUAAAGGGUGCGUAGGCGGGGUUUUUAAGUCAGGGGUGAAAUCCUGGAGCUCAACUCCAGAACUGCCUUUGAUACUGAAGAUCUUGAGUUCGGGAGAGGUGAGUGGAACUGCGAGUGUAGAGGUGAAAUUCGUAGAUAUUCGCAAGAACACCAGUGGCGAAGGCGGCUCACUGGCCCGGUACUGACGCUGAGGUGCGAAAGCGUGGGGAGCAAACAGG